rnacentral:rRNA from 1 species
GACGAACGCUGGCGGCGUGCCUAAUACAUGCAAGUAGGACGCAGUUGCGAACGGGUGAGUAACGCGUAGGUAACUACCUAUUAGAGGGGGGUAACUAUUGGAAACGAUAGCUAAUACCGCAUACUAGUAGAUGGACCUGCGUUGUAUUAGCUAGUAGGUAGGGUAAUGGCCUACCUAGGCAACGAUACAUAGCCGACCUGAGGGGGGGGUCGGCCCAAAUGGGACUGAGACCCGGGCCAGACUUCUUCGGGAGGCAGCAGUAGGGAAUCGUCGGCAAUGGGGGGAACCCUGGCCGAGCAACGCCGCGUGAGUGAAGAAGGUUUUCGGGUCGUAAAGCUCUGUUGAUAAGGGAGCGGUACUUAACCAGAAAGGGACGGCUAACUACGUGCCAGCAGCCGCGGUAAUUC